GAGGGUAUAGCCCAUGGCGUAGGGCGCAUGUUUAGCAUGCGUGAGGCCCUAGGUUCAAUCCCCAGUGCCUGCU
rnacentral:tRNA from 1 species